CGCUGCAGUUCCGUUCCCCGGGAUCGUUCACCAUCAUUAAUUGUUGAUUUGUUUUGAAGAAGAGAUAGUGAUUUAUUUGCAGCGGGAUGAAGUUACAGACCUAGAUUCCUGACCAGAGGCUCUCAACGUAAACAAUGCACAACCUAUAAAUUAACCAUUCUCCAUCUGGCGAUUCCGAUGUAAAAUUCAUAGUUUUUCACCUCACAGGCAGUGCCAACCCCCUCCCACACACACACACACACACACACACUUCCCUCUCGACUGCUUUCUAACAGAGCUUAAUGCAAAGGGGGAGGGAAAAGGAAGAAAUUUAAAAAAAAAAAAAAAGAAGAAGAAGAAAAAAAAAGCCAGCCAGCAUGAAAGAACCGGGCUGGCACAAGUCCCUCCAUUGCUUUCGUUCAUUAACUUGAACUAGAGAACUGCAUGAGGACAUUCCAAUUUUAAGAAGGGAUGGAGCUGCACAGAACUGCUUUUGACAGCAAAAAGUUGACUGUUCUACCAACUUCCAUAUCUACAGAUUGCUUCAGAGGAACUGUUGAGCAAAUCCCUUCAUGCAGAUAUCACUGGAGUCUGGAAAAGGGCCAGCAGAACUAACAGAGAAUUUGAAUGGAAGCCAACUGACUUUUUUUAAAAUUUCUAACAUUAAAGGGCAAUAUUUCCCCUUUUUUUACCAUGUCUAUCUGAACUCACUUAAUGCAGUAGGUUUGUGAAAAGGAUCCUUUUGUUUCCAGAGCAGGCACAGUCACUUUUCCCUUGUUUCUCUCCUACAACUCUUGAACAAUUGUAUCAAAAUAUUUUACUAGAAAAACAAUUAUAAUAGGCUACCACAUUCUGUUUCUGUACUAAGCCCUUCACACCAAUAAGGUUUUUGCCACGUAGGAGGGAGAGUUAAUGCCUAUAUGCUCUUCCUACUUGCAAGCAAAGUGAUUUGUUUCAAAGAGAAAAAAAUAGCUCAUUUACUGGUUGGGUUCUUGAAUUGAAUAACUGAAGUUACUAUGAACAUGAGUUACUUUGCAACUAAUUUUAGCAUCUCGUGUCUGAAGUAAGCCACAUGGAAACAGUGACUUAAGAUGGCUGGAAUUUUAGACUCAUGCUGUGAGUUCUGUUGCCAGCGUUGUCUCUUGUAAACAAAAAGCUGAUUAAGAUACGGUGAUGCUCAGAAGGUAUCUUUAACAAAUAUACAGUACUAAUUCUGAAGUUUAGUAAGUAACACUUCAAUAUUAAUGCUAACUAAUCUGACUACCAAAUAUAUCUAUCUGUGUCUGUCUUGUUUUGCCAAUAAAAAUACUGGAGUCUGUAAUUAGUCUGUGAUAUUUUAUUAUUAAAAAACAAACAAACAAAAAAAUGAAGGUGAGAUGUUACUUAUGAGGACCAUGACUGAAGGAAGCAUUUCACGCUGCCUCUUUCUCAUGUAACUAGUUAACAUCUACAGCAGUACACUAUUAAGAUUAAAUGACUUAAAGGAAGUCUUUCUAUUAAAACAGUAACUACUAUGGCCUCCCUGAACAUGCCAUCUCCCCUUAUCUGUAGAUACAUUUUUAUUGCUCACCACUCUUCUCCCUAUGGAAUUCUAAAGACACAUUUGGGAAGAGGGCAAUAAAAUGUUUCAUGUUGCACUACACAAGUAGAAAAUGUCAUUUACAUUGUUAAUGUUCCCAACAGAAUGUGUCUCUUUACUGCUGUUAGAAUUUGUGCUUUAUUUUGGUACCAACUAGUGCAUCUUUUCUGCUUCAGCUACACAGUCUAACCAUCUUGCUGCAUGAUAGAAUUAACACACAAACCUUUAAGGCUUCAAAUACCAGGUAAGUGUGUUGAUUUUGUUAUUGCUUUGUUUAUUGUUGUUGUUUGUUUUACAUCCUAGUGUGGCUUAACUUAGUUUUGUUACCAAGUGUCAUGGAAUCUUCUUGCUAACCACUGUCCACCCCAACUAUCUGUACAAUGUAUGCUUACAACUAAUAUCACCUCAUGCAGACAGUGUCUAAAAACCCACAGUAAUUAGAAAUAUAUAUAUAUUCCUCUCUCAAUGCCUUGCUGACGGUACAGAAUUAGUAUUUUGGGAGUCUGUACCAGCAGUCUUUCUUUCCCUGGUGAUAGCUCAGUUUGUCAGUGAAUUAAAUUAGUUUCUCCUCUGAGAUACCUUUAAUUGAUUUAAAUGCUUUUCACACUUAAUUGAGAUGUAGGAUGGGAGGUUGGAAAGGAGAUUCUGUAAUCUAAACAUGCUUAAGCAAUGCUUUUAGUAUGACAAAAUGGGGAAAAUAUUCAAGAGGGAAAUGCUUUUGUUGUAAGUAGUGUCUGAAAGGUAAAAAUUUCAGUUGUUAAACCUCAAGU
rnacentral:lncRNA from 1 species